GCAGCUACACAUGCAGUCGAGCGGCAGCGGGAAAGUAGCUUGCUACUUUUGCCGGCGAGCGGCGGACGGGUGAGUAAUGCCUGGGAAAUUGCCCAGUCGAGGGGGUUAACAGUUGGAAACGACUGCUAAUACCGCAUACGCCCUACGGGGGAAAGCAGGGGACCUUCGGGCCUUGCGCGAUUGGAUAUGCCCAGGUGGGAUUAGCUAGUUGGUGAGGUAAUGGCUCACCAAGGCGACGAUCCCUAGCUGGUCUGAGAGGAUGAUCAGCCACACUGGAACUGAGACACGGUCCAGACUCCUACGGGAGGCAGCAGUGGGGAAUAUUGCACAAUGGGGGAAACCCUGAUGCAGCCAUGCCGCGUGUGUGAAGAAGGCCUUCGGGUUGUAAAGCACUUUCAGCGAGGAGGAAAGGUUGAUGCCUAAUACGUAUCAACUGUGACGUUACUCGCAGAAGAAGCACCGGCUAACUCCGUGCCAGCAGCCGCGGUAAUACGGAGGAUGCAAGCGUUAAUCGGAAUUACUGGGCGUAAAGCGCACGCAGGCGGUUGGAUAAGUUAGAUGUGAAAGCCCCGGGCUCAACCUGGGAAUUGCAUUUAAAACUGUCCAGCUAGAGUCUUGUAGAGGGGGGUAGAAUUCCAGGUGUAGCGGUGAAAUGCGUAGAGAUCUGGAGGAAUACCGGUGGCGAUGCGGCCCCCCGGACAAAGACUGACGCUCAGUGCGAAAGCGUGGGGAGCAAACAGGAUUAGGUACCCUGGUAGUCCACGCCGUAACGAUGUCGAUUUGGAGCUGUGUCCUUGAGACGUGCUUCCGGAGCUACGCGUUAAAUCGACCGCCUGGGGAGUACGGCCGCAAGUUAAACUCAAUGAAUUGAC
rnacentral:rRNA from 1 species